rnacentral:rRNA from 1 species
UACGUAGGUGGCAAGCGUUGUCCGGAUUUAUUGGGCGUAAAGCGCUCGCAGGUGGUUCGUUGCGUCGUGCGUGAAAGACCCCGGCUCAACUGGGGAGUGUCGUGCGAUACGGGCGAACUGGAGGCCAGUAGGGGGAUGCGGAAUUCCGGGUGUAGUGGUGGAAUGCGUAGAGAUCCGGAGGAACACCAGCGGCGAAGGCGGCAUCCUGGACUGGUCCUGACACUCAGGAGCGAAAGCGUGGGGAGCGAUCCGG